ACAAAUGCGCGGAAGAAGAGGAGUACAUAGAGAUCCCUUGCCAGAGAAAACUGCCCAUGGCUGGAAGGCAGUUAAAAGAAGGAACUAUGGAAGGUAGCUUUGGAGCACAGCGCCUGAAUGAGAGUAAGGUACUGCGGAGUGGUUCCCGUUACAGAACUUAAGAGAGAUAUGUGCGUCCAUGAGAGGCGGAUAUAUAACGAAGGUGGUACCGCGACAAUUCGCCCUUUAC
rnacentral:ncRNA from 1 species